CCCUACGGGGCGCAGCAGUGAGGAAUAUUGGUCAAUGGGCUUACGCCUGAACCAGCCAAGUCGCGUGAGGGAAGACUGCCCUAUGGGUUGUAAACCUCUUUUGUCAGGGAGCAACGCUGGCUACGUGUAGCCGGACUGAGAGUACCUGAAGAAAAAGCAUCGGCUAACUCCGUGCCAGCAGCCGCGGUAAUACGGAGGAUGCGAGCGUUAUCCGGAUUUAUUGGGUUUAAAGGGUGCGUAGGCGGAAUGCCAAGUCAGCGGUAAAAUCGCGGGGCUCAACCUCGCUCCGCCGUUGCAACUGGCGU
rnacentral:rRNA from 1 species